AGAGUUUGAUCCUGGCUCAGGAUGAACGCUGGCGGCGUGCUUAACACAUGCAAGUCGAACGGGAAACCUUUUAUUGAAGCUUCGGCAGAUUUAGAUUGUUUCUAGUGGCGGACGGGUGAGUAACGCGUGGGUAACCUGCCUUAUACAGGGGGAUAACAGUCAGAAAUGACUGCUAAUACCGCAUAAGCGCACAGAGCUGCAUGGCUCGGUGUGAAAAACUCCGGUGGUAUAAGAUGGACCCGCGUUGGAUUAGCUAGUUGGUGAGGUAACGGCCCACCAAGGCGACGAUCCAUAGCCGGCCUGAGAGGGUGAACGGCCACAUUGGGACUGAGACACGGCCCAGACUCCUACGGGAGGCAGCAGUGGGGAAUAUUGCACAAUGGGGGAAACCCUGAUGCAGCGACGCCGCGUGAAGGAAGAAGUAUCUCGGUAUGUAAACUUCUAUCAGCAGGGAAGAAAAUGACGGUACCUGACUAAGAAGCCCCGGCUAACUACGUGCCAGCAGCCGCGGUAAUACGUAGGGGGCAAGCGUUAUCCGGAUUUACUGGGUGUAAAGGGAGCGUAGACGGAUGGACAAGUCUGAUGUGAAAGGCUGGGGCUCAACCCCGGGACUGCAUUGGAAACUGCCCGUCUUGAGUGCCGGAGAGGUAAGCGGAAUUCCUAGUGUAGCGGUGAAAUGCGUAGAUAUUAGGAGGAACACCAGUGGCGAAGGCGGCUUACUGGACGGUAACUGACGUUGAGGCUCGAAAGCGUGGGGAGCAAACAGAAGGAGAUACCCUGGUAGUCCACGCGGUAAACG
rnacentral:rRNA from 1 species